rnacentral:rRNA from 1 species
GAUGAACGCUAGCUACAGGCUUAACACAUGCAAGUCGAGGGGUAACGAGAGGAAAGCUUGCUUUCCUUGUCGACGACCGGCGCACGGGUGAGUAACACGUAUCCAACCUGCCCCCAACUAGGGAAUAACCUUGCGAAAGUAAGACUAAUACCCUAUAAUUUCCUCAGAUGUCAUCUGACGAGGAAUAAAGAUUUAUCGGUUGUGGAUGGGGAUGCGUCUGAUUAGCUUGUUGGCGGGGUAACGGCCCACCAAGGCAACGAUCAGUAGGGGUUCUGAGAGGAAGGUCCCCCACAUUGGAACUGAGAUACGGUCCAAACUCCUACGGGAGGCAGCAGUGAGGAAUAUUGGUCAAUGGGCGGAAGCCUGAACCAGCCAAGUAGCGUGCAGGAUGACGGCCCUAUGGGUUGUAAACUGCUUUUAUACAGGAAUAAAGUUAGCCACGUGUGGUUAUUUGUAGGUACUGUAUGAAUAAGGACCGGCUAAUUCCGUGCCAGCAGCCGCCGUAA